UACGUAGGGUGCAAGCGUUGUCCGGAAUUAUUGGGGCGUAAAGAGCUCGUAGGCGGUCUGUCGCGUCGAAUGUGAAAGCCCGGGGCUCAACUCCGGAAUUGCCUUUAAGACUGCAUCGCUAGAAUUGUGGAGAGGUAAGUGGAAUUCCGAGUGUAGAGGUGAAAUUCGUAGAUAUUCGGAAGAACACCAGUGGCGAAGGCGACUUACUGGACACAUAUUGACGCUGAGGUGCGAAAGCGUGGGGAGCAACAGG
rnacentral:rRNA from 1 species